CAGGCUCAGUAGUUGUGGCGCACAGGCUUAGUUGCUCCACGGCAUGUGGGAUCUUCCCGGACCAGGGCUCGAACCUAUGUCCCCAGGACUGGCAGGCGGAUUCUUAACCACUGCGCCACCAGGGAAGCCCUAAUCUUUAUUUUUUCCUUCCCUUCUGCUAGCUUUGGUCUAGUUUGUUCUUUCUCUAGUUCCUUAAGGUAGUGUGCGGAUUUGAGAUUUCUCUUGUUUUUAAUGUGUUUAUAGCUAUACAUUUUCCCGGAUUUGAGAUUUUCCUUGUUUUUAAUGUGUUUAUAGCUAUACAUUUCCCCGGAUUUGAGAUUUCUCUUGUUUUUAAUGUGUCUAUAGCUAUACAUUUCCCCGGAUUUGAGAUUUCCCUUGUUGUUAAUGUGUCUAUAGCUAUACAUUUCCCCGGAUUUGAGGUUUUCCUUGUUUUUAAUGUGUCUAUAGCUGUACAUUUCCCCGGAUUCGAGGUUUUCCUUGUUUUUAAUGUGUUUAUAGCUGUACAUUUCCCCUAAACACCACUGUUGGUGGGUCUAUUACUUUUGGUAAGUUGUGUUUUCUUUUUUACUCAUUUCGAAUUAUUUUCUAAUUUCCCUUUUGAUUUAUUCUUUGAUCCAUUGGUUCUUUAAUUUCCACAAAUUUAGGAAUAUUCCA